rnacentral:rRNA from 1 species
GUCUAUGGCCAUGCUACCCUGAAGAAGCCGGAUCCUGUCUGAUCUCGGAAGCUAAGCAGGGUAGGGCCUGGUUAGUACUUGGAGGGGAGACCACCUAGGAAGACCAGGUGCUGUAGGCA